rnacentral:lncRNA from 1 species
ACGAUUUCUGCCUACAUCGCCCAGUGAGCAGUGAGCUGAGCAAGUGGCGAUUGAAUAUGACGUUCCAUUUUGUUCUAUAAAGGCCCUCCCCUUUCUUCGUCACGUCCUCUUUCAAUUUGGUGUCUUCGCUGUAGAGGUAAGAAACAUUGAAAUAUGUCCCAAAACAAAUCCAACUGAAUCACUAGUAAUUGUUUGCCAUCCAUUACAUCCAACAACUGUGUUAUCUUUAAUUGCAGACACAUCUCCACAAGAUGAGAGCAAAGUGGAGGAAGAAGCGUAUGCGCAGGUAAGGAUCAUUUCCUUAAAGGAUUUUCAUCUUAAUGCUACUUUGUUUAUUUUCGUUCAGAUAUGCAUUCUACUCAAGUCUUCUGUUAACAUGGACACCGCACAUAUUUGCAAUCUACUACAAUAGAUUUGACAACUAUGUAUAUGACUUUUUCAGGCUCAUACGAGUUCAAUUCAGGGUGUAUGUUGAAUGUUUGUUAAUUUGGUGUCGCAGGUAGUCUAGUGGUUAGAGAACUGGGCUAGUAACUAGUUUGCUGGAUCGAAUCUCCACGAUGACAACUUAAAUAUGUUCUACUCCAGAACAAGGCAGCUAACAGCCUACUGGGGAGCAGUGUCAUUGUAAAAAAAUAUAUAUAUAUUUAUAUAAAUAAAAAUCGGUAACUGACUUGUCUAUUUUUAAAUGGACAUCACAUUUAAAUGAGUACAUGACAAUGGUGGGAUUAAUGCUAGUCAUUGUUGGGAAUUUUACAAACUGAUAUGGUGUGUAAUGAUGCAGCCCUGGUCACUAAUUGACACUCUGGUCUUUGUAGGCUGAAGCGUAAAAGGCGAAAGAUGAGGCAGAGGUCCAAGUAGACUGGCCCAUUCCCCUACUGCUGUGACUGUUUUUCUCCGCCCACUCCAAGCCCUCUGAAGCCAGCGGUCCAUGAUUUGAAAAGAGCUGAACCAUGGUGGUCUGACGCUGGUCUCGUUGGUGUGAAGGACAGAUUCUGCCUACCCAGCCCUCUACUCUGCCAAUGGCUCCUGGCCGUUGACUUCUGCUAGAAUCUCUCCUGUCGUUAAACUCUGGCCUUUUACCACCUGCACAGCUGAUUUGUUGUAAAGACCAUAAUAAAUAUUUGGUUUACUAACUACAUUACAGUCUCUGUAAACAUUGAUUCAGGUUCAAAACUUAUUUUAUUGGUGACACACAUUUAGUAGAUAUUGCGGGUGUAGUGAAAUUCUUAUCUUUUGGUCCACCCAACUUGCACUACACUUAAUGCUUUUGAUGUUGGAAACUAAUAUCUAGUGAACCAGUUGAUGCUUUUAAAUCCCCGUUGCAGUACAUUUUGGUUUACAUUUGUACAGUUAUAGACUUUGAACUGCCCUGGGGAUCAGUAAUAUAGUUGAGGUUCCGGCUUAACUUCUCUGGCAUAUGAAGAUGACAUUGGCAAGAGGCCUUGUACUAUUGUGCCUGUCCUAACCAAUGACUUGCAUUCAGUUGCACAAACCCUUUCUGGAAUAAUGGUACUAUGACAAUCACUUGCAGGUAUAUCUUGUUUGAUGCAAACUGGAAGGACUGGUCUGUGGGGCCAUCUAAUGGCUAUUUGAGGCAAACAGCUAAUGGGAACAUGUCUUCAAAACUUAAAUUAAGUUCCUGAACAGUGGUCUUCCAGUGUGCCAAGUUCUCUUAGACCCCUGAUUGGCAUGUUUCCUCUGAUCCUCUUAAUGGCAUUCUGGCAGGUAUGGCACUGCUUGUGACUGGAAGGUGCAGACAGCCCAGCGCAAGGCCUGAAACUGCCAAAGACACUUCUGUGCUGCUGUCCAUCUGUUUCUAUCCCCAGGCAGUAAGACUUAUAUAGCUAACUACUGCUUUCCUGUCCACAUUGAUUGCCAUUAAUAUUUAUCCUGCUACUGGUAGUUAAAAUAAACUAACACAUGGAAUCGUGUUACCAAAAGAGUGUUAGAGAAAUCAAAAAUGAUUAUCUGAAUUUCUUCAAAGUAGCCACCUGUUGCCAUGACAACUUAGCAUAUUUGGCAUUCUCUCAACCAGCUUCAUGAGGAAUGCUUUUCCAACAGUCUUGAAGGAGUUGGUACUUUUCCUUCAAUCUGGUCCAACUCAUCCCAAACCAUCUAAAUUGGGUUGAGGUCGGGUGAUCUGAUGCAGUACUCCAUUCCUUGGUGAAAUAGCCCUUACACAACCUGGAAGUGUGUUUUGGGUAAUUGUCCUGUUGAAAAACAAAAUAGUCCCACUAAGCCAAAACCAGAUGGGAUAUCGCUGCAGAAUGCUGUGGUAGCCAUGCUGGUUAGGUGUGCCUUGAAUUCUAAAUAAAUCACUGUCACAGGCAAAGCACCUUCACACCCACCAUGUUUUGCGUUGGGAAUCACACUUGUGGCGAUAAAUCUGUUCACCUACUCAUCUGGCAAAGAUGGUUGGAACCAAAAAUCUCUUGUGCACUCAUCUGACCAAAGGAUAGAUUUCCACCGGUCUAAUAUCCAUUGCCCAUGUUUCUUGGCCCAAGAAUCUCAUAGUGUCCUUUAGUGGUUUCUUUGCAGCAAUUUGACCAUGAAGGCUUGAUUCUCGCAUUCUCCGAACAGUUGAUGUGUCUAUAACAAACAGAAGCAUUUAUUUGGGUUGCAAUCUGAGGUGCAGUUAAGUCUAAUGAACUUAUUCUCUGCAGCGGCGGUAACUCUGGGUCUUUAAUGUGGCAGUCCACAUGAAAGCCAGUUUCAUCAUAGCGCUUUUGCAACUGCACUUGAACAAAUGUUCAAGGUUCUUUUUUGGGAUUGACUGACCACGUUUUAAUGAUGGACUGUCAUUUAUAUUUGCUUAUUUGAGAUGUUCUUGACAUAAUAUGGAUUUAGCCCUAUUUGGUAAAAUACCAUCUUCUGUAUACCACCCCUGCCUUGUCAGAAUGCCAAGUGUGUGCAAAGUUGUCAUCAAGGCAAGGAGUGGCUGCUUUGAAGAAUCUCAUAUAAAUCCUAUUUUGAUUUGACACUUUUUUUGGUUACUACAUGAUUCCAUGUGUUAUUUCAUAGUUUUGAUGUCUUCACUAUCUUCACUACAAUGUAGAAAAUAGUCAAAUAAAGAAAAACCCUUACAUGAGUAGGCAUGUCCAAACUUUC